rnacentral:rRNA from 1 species
UACGUAGGUGGCAAGCGUUGUCCGGAAUUAUUGGGCGUAAAGCGCGCGCAGGCGGCCUUUUAAGUCUGAUGUGAAAUCUUGCGGCUCAACCGCAAGCGGGCAUUGGAAACUGGGAGGCUUGAGUACAGAAGAGGAGAGUGGAAUUCCACGUGUAGCGGUGAAAUGCGUAGAUAUGUGGAGGAACACCAGUGGCGAAGGCGACUCUCUGGUCUGUAACUGACGCUGAGGCGCGAAAGCGUGGGGAGCAAACAGG